GCUGCUGCCGUGGCCGCCAGGGAGGGAGGCGCCGGAGGGCGGGCCCCACGCGGUGCUAGGGUUCGGUCUGGACUGGCGGUGGUGGGUCCAGACCGGCGGUGCCGGGUUCUGUCCCGACCAACGGCGCUAGGUUCUGUUCGGAAGCGCGCUGCUGGAUCUAAAUGGGCGGUGCUGGGUCCGACGGAUGGUGCUAUGUUCAGUACGGACGCGCGGUGCUGUGUCUGGACGGGCGGUGCUGGAUCCAACUGGGCGUUGCUGGAUCUGGACUGGCGGUGAUGGGUCCGAUGGGCGGUGCUACAUUGGGUUCGGACGGGCGAUGCUGGGUCCGAUGGGCGGUGCUGAGUUCGGUCCGGACGGGCGGGGACGGGCGGUGCUGGGUCCAAAUGGGUGGUGAUGGAUCUGGACGGGCGGUGCUGGGUCCGAUGGGCCGUACUAGGUUCGGUUCGGAUGGGUGGUGCUGGGUCUAAAUGGGCGGCGCCGGGUCCGAUGGGCGGUGCUGGGUUCGGUCCGGACUGGCGGGUCUGGGUCUGGACGGGCGGUGCUGGGUCCGAACGGGCGGUGGGUCCGAUGGACUGUGUUAGAUUAGGUUCGGACUGGCAGUGCAGGGUCUAAAUGGGCGGCGCUGGGUCCGAUGGGCGGUACUGGGUUCGGUCCGGACGGGUGGGUCUGGGUCUGGACGGGCGGGGCUGUAUCCAAGUGGGCGGUGCUGGUUCCGGACUGGCGGUGCUAGGUUAGGUCCCGACGGGUGGUGCAGGGUCUAAGUGGGCGGUGCUGGGCACAGCAGGGGACAGGUGGGCGUGGCGGCACAGGUACGGAGCGCAGUGCGGGUGCGGCGCCCUCGGAAGGGCCUUGCGCUCCCGGCGCUCGCUGCUCCUCCAACCUGCGCAUUGCCCCGGGGCUGCUGCGUGUUUCUUCCAGGGUGAUUCCUUUCUGCUGGGGUCACUUCGAAGCUGACCUUUUCAAGCUGUUUUCUUCCGAGGGGGAUACCUUAUUAGGCUUUGUGUGCAUUUCAAGUGUCAUGUUUUCCGGACCGCGCCCCGCUGCUCCCGGGGUGUUCGAGCCCCCACACUGCUGUGCGGUGUUCCUCUCGCUGAGUGAGGUUGGAGGUUCCCACUGCCUUUGUGUGUCUCCUUAGAAAACGCCUCUUCUCUCAGACACAUUGUUAUCUGCAAAUCCUUCGCAGAUGUAGAGAACGGACUGCAGAGUUAAUAAACGUCGAAGGGAAGCUUUGAUGCGCCCCUGUUGGCCCUGCGAGAUGCCACUUCCUGUGCUUCUUGAUAGACUCGAGUUUUUACUGUGUGAGCAUCCCCGUGCCCGCACAGCGAAGGACUCUCACUGGGUUCUACCUGUGCUGCACAGAUCCCUGGCACAGCGUUAACUGAACCUCAACUGCAGGAGCUUCAUUCCCGAGGAUGGUGUUACCAAGAGUGACUUGCCUCCUGAAGAAUGAGUUUGCAAAGCUGGCAGUUAGAUUGCUGAUGUCCAAAGUAAGUAUGUGUAGCAUCGCUAAAGAGAAAAUUCAGGAUUCCUGGAAAACAGUUAUGGGCUCUCUGCAGUGUUGUUUUUGUAAUAAAAAACAUGUAGCAUAUGUGAAAUACCUACUGAGUGAUGCAGGACACAUAGAAGGCUCUACAUUAAUGUGAAUGAUUCUCGUUUUUCUGACUGUCAUUAAAAGUCCCCGUUUGUAUUAUG